rnacentral:piRNA from 1 species
UUGUACACAAUUUUGUUGCACGCUGCCA